rnacentral:rRNA from 1 species
CCUACGGGAGGCUGCAGUGGGGAAUAUUGGACAAUGGGGGAAACCCUGAUCCAGCGACGCCGCGUGAGUGAAGAAGUACUUCGGUAUGUAAAGCUCUAUCAGCAGGAAAGAAAAUGACGGUACCUGACUAAGAAGCCCCGGCUAACUACGUGCCAGCAGCCGCGGUAAUACGUAGGGGGCAAGCGUUAUCCGGAUUUACUGGGUGUAAAGGGAGCGUAGACGGCAGCGCAAGUCUGGAGUGAAAUGCCGGGGCCCAACACCGGAACUGCCCUGGAAACUGUGAAGCUGGAGUGCAGGAGAGGUAGGCGGAAUUCCUGGUGUAGCGGUGAAAUGCGUAGAUAUCAGGAGGAACACCGACGGCGAAGGCGGCUUACUGGACUGUAACUGACGUUGAGGCUCGAAGGCGUGGGGAGCAAACAGGAUUAGAUACCCCAGUAGUC